CCGGGCGCUAGGCUGGGGCGCGCGCGGGCUGCGCGGUCGCUUUAAGGAGGCACCGGGGCGGGGACCGGCCGAAGCGGCCGGCAGGCCGCGGGCCCAAAGCCGUCAGUCCGGGCGCCGCGGGGCCCGGAGGGCGCGGCGCUGUCUUCUGGUUGGCGCGGGCAUGGAGGAGGUGGCCUGAGGCCGGAGCCAAGCUGGGCUGGAGUGCGCGGCUCCAGCGUAACGGUGUGCGAUCGGGAAGUCGGCGACGAUCCGGACCCCAGUGAGAUGGGCCUGCUCACCACCUAAAAAGCCCCUUUCAUGGUCUGACCAACCAGCAACAUGGCAACGAGUGCAGUCCCCAGCGACAACCUCCCCACGUACAAGCUGGUGGUGGUGGGAGAUGGGGGUGUGGGCAAGAGCGCCCUCACCAUCCAGUUUUUCCAGAAGAUCUUUGUGCCUGACUACGACCCCACCAUCGAAGACUCCUACCUGAAACAUACAGAGAUUGACAAUCAAUGGGCCAUCUUGGACGGUGAGACUUGAUGACAGCCCUGCGUGGGGGUGGGGCGUUAAUACAGAUUAGGGAAAGUUGACAGUCUUCAGCUGGUGUGCUGGUUUCUUCCAUGUUGCCGUUAUGGGGUGGUUGGUGUAAGGCUGUGUGUGUUUUCCAGGGUGAAUUCUGAACAGCUUUGUAGAAACCAAAAUGUGUAUUCAACAAAGAGGCAAGGCUUAGAAUCAUGCCGACUCAGUGAUGUCAUGGUUGUUAUGUCUCUCUGAUCAGAAGCUCUGAUUAACUUUUAUAGAUAUCUCUAGCUGAUUAAGACGUUUCCAGGUGGCGCUAGUGGUAAAGAAUCCAUCUACCAAUGCAGGAGAUGCAAGAGACCCAGUUCGAUCCCUGGGUCAGGAAGGUCCCCUG